rnacentral:rRNA from 1 species
ACGCUGGCGGCAGGCCUAACACAUGCAAGUCGAGCGGUAGAGAGGAGCUUGCUUCUCUUGAGAGCGGCGGACGGGUGAGUAAUGCCUAGGAAUCUGCCUGGUAGUGGGGGAUAACGUCCGGAAACGGACGCUAAUACCGCAUACGUCCUACGGGAGAAAGCAGGGGACCUUCGGGCCUUGCGCUAUCAGAUGAGCCUAGGUCGGAUUAGCUAGUUGGUGGGGUAAUGGCUCACCAAGGCGACGAUCCGUAACUGGUCUGAGAGGAUGAUCAGUCACACUGGAACUGAGACACGGUCCAGACUCCUACGGGAGGCAGCAGUGGGGAAUAUUGGACAAUGGGCGAAAGCCUGAUCCAGCCAUGCCGCGUGUGUGAAGAAGGUCUUCGGAUUGUAAAGCACUUUAAGUUGGGAGGAAGGGCAGUAAAUUAAUACUUUGCUGUUUUGACGUUACCGACAGAAUAAGCACCGCCUAACUCUGUGCCAGCAGCCGCGGUAAUACAGAGGGUGCAAGCGUUAAUCGGAAUUACUGGGCGUAAAGCGCGCGUAGGUGGUUCGUUAAGUUGGAUGUGAAAUCCCCGGGCUCAACCUGGGAACUGCAUUCAAAACUGACGAGCUAGAGUAUGGUAGAGGGUGGUGGAAUUUCCUGUGUAGCGGUGAAAUGCGUAGAUAUAGGAAGGAACACCAGUGGCGAAGGCGACCACCUGGACUAAUACUGACACUGAGGUGCGAAAGUGUGGGGAGCAAAC